rnacentral:rRNA from 1 species
GUCGAGCGGAGUGAUGGUGCUUGCACUAUCACUUAGCGGCGGAGGGUGAGUAAUGCUUAGGAAUCUGCCUAUUAGUGGGGGACAACAUUUCGAAAGGAAUGCUAAUACCGCAUACGUCCUACGGGAGAAAGCAGGGGAUCUUCGGACCUUGCGCUAAUAGAUGAGCCUAAGUCGGAUUAGCUAGUUGGUGGGGUAAAGGCCUACCAAGGCGACGAUCUGUAGCGGGUCUGAGAGGAUGAUCCGCCACACUGGGACUGAGACACGGCCCAGACUCCUACGGGAGGCAGCAGUGGGGAAUAUUGGACAAUGGGCGCAAGCCUGAUCCAGCCAUGCCGCGUGUGUGAAGAAGGCCUUAUGGUUGUAAAGCACUUUAAGCGAGGAGGAGGCUACUGAAGUUAAUACCUUCAGAUAGUGGACGUUACUCGCAGAAUAAGCACCGGCUAACUCUGUGCCAGCAGCCGCGGUAAUACAGAGGGUGCAAGCGUUAAUCGGAUUUACUGGGCGUAAAGCGCGCGUAGGCGGCUAAUUAAGUCAAAUGUGAAAUCCCCGAGCUUAACUUGGGAAUUGCAUUCGAUACUGGUUAGCUAGAGUGUGGGAGAGGAUGGUAGAAUUCCAGGUGUAGCGGUGA